GAGGUGCUGAAGGGACAGUUCCCGCCGCCGAACUUGCCGGGCGGCCGUGGGGAGGGUGGGGCGGCCCCGGAGCGCGCGGGGCCCGCCGCGAUGGAGACCAUUUGGAUCUACCAGUUCCGCCUCAUCGUGAUCGGGGACUCCACGGUGGGCAAGUCGUGCCUCCUGCACCGCUUCACCCAGGGCCGCUUCCCGGGGCUGCGCUCCCCCGCCUGCGACCCCACGGUCGGCGUGGACUUCUUCUCCCGCCUGCUGGAGAUCGAGCCGGGCAAGCGGAUCAAGCUGCAGCUCUGGGACACGGCGGGGCAGGAGCGCUUCAGGUCAAUAACUCGAUCUUAUUACCGCAACUCAGUUGGUGGAUUUUUAGUAUUUGACAUUACUAACCGACGAUCUUUUGAACACGUGAAAGAUUGGCUGGAAGAAGCAAAAAUGCACGUACAGCCAUUUCGGAUUGUAUUUUUGCUAGUGGGACACAAAUGCGACUUAGCUUCAAUACGUCAAGUUACAAGGGAAGAAGCUGAAAAGCUGUCAGCGGACUGUGGUAUGAAGUAUAUAGAAACCUCAGCAAAAGAUGCUACCAAUGUUGAGGAAUCCUUCACUAUCUUGACAAGAGACAUCUAUGACCUUAUCAAAAGGGGAGAGAUUUGUAUUCAGGAUGGCUGGGAAGGGGUGAAAAGUGGUUUUGUUCCAAAUACUGUGCAUUCUUCUGAGGAAGCAGUGAAGCCCAGGAAAGAGUGCUUCUGCUGACUUCAGACAUGCCAAAGAACCGUCAAGAACCGGUGGACGUCAUUCCAGGAUAGAGACCACCAUCAGCACUGUUUUAGAGGAAGCAGAAGGAGGUGCAUGUUCUCAUGGACCUGGGGGAAUUCUUGGUUUGAUGAGUACCCUCUGCCCUCUUAUCCUGAAGCACCACUCCUCCAAAGAGCAAAUGCUAGAAAGAAAAAUCCCAGGAGACUUAAUUGAAGCAAAAGUCAUAUUGGAAUCUAGUCUUUGUGCAUCUUCAAGAUAGAUAUUAUAUUUUUAAAUACAUGUACAUUUUCUAGGUUCAUGUAAGUAUUUUUAAUAGUGCUUAUGGAGAGAAAAAAUAUAAAUUAUAACAUCACUAUAUAAUUUUUGAAUAUUUAUAUUGUCAACAUUUUCUUGAUAGCCUUAGAUUAAUUUCAUGUGAGUUCACACUAUAAUUGACCAGAUAAGAAAAUACCUGUCCCCAAAAUGUGAAGUAAUCUAUUUUUACUGUUAAAAAUUUAAAUCUUAUAAUUUUUCAUCAGUCCAAAAUGGCAUAAACUCAAAAAGUGAAUAUCUAACGAAAGGUGAAUAAAGUUAAACACCUAAAAUAUAAAAUGUGAUUUAACUUUCAGUGGACACAUUUUUUAAUACUAAUAUUUGGGCUAAAGGGUAUGAUCUGUUCCAAGAUUCAGAGUAUAAUUAAGGAAUCAGAAGAAACAAAUGGGAAGGCAGGGCCCCAAAAGUUGGUAACUACCAAGGUCACCCGUGAGCAGAAGCAAGCCUAGAACGCUGGUUCUCCUUACACCUUAGUCGGUGUUCUUUCCAUUGCCAUGCUGUGUGAAGUGUGUAUGUGUUUGUGUGUGCAGUGGAGAAAAGGGGAAAUGAGAGCUAACUGAAUCCACAAAAUACUAAAUUGGGCUAAACCAUUUUGAGGUUAUAGAGGAGCUAUUUAUGGUAAAACAAUUUUAAAAUGAACAAUGACUACAAAGAUCUGCAUUCUUAUACAAGAUUGCCAAACAUGUGUAUAAACGUAGCCAGAUAUCUUUAUCCAGAAAUACAUAUAUGUAUACAUAUAUAAGGAUAUAAAAUAGCUGACCUAUUUUCUUAUACAGAAUAUGAAUAAUAAUGCCAAAAUAGUAAAAAUAUUUGUUCACGACCAAAGUGUCUUAAAAGUCAGAUAUACAUAAAUUAGAUACAAUUGAAAUUAUUUAAUUUAUAAUUUAUUUAAUUUAAAUUUAAAAAUUUUAAACUACUGAAUGAUGUAGCUAAUUACUAAAUAUUUUAAAUAAAUCUGAUUUUAAAAAAUAAAAAACUAUCCAAUCAUAUGAUACACUUGUCCCUGACAGAAAUUGCUCAACUUGAGUUGAAUUAACACUUUUAGUGCAAGUGGUGAUGUGAUGGUUCAUUAAAUGAGAAGCUUAAGCCAAAAUGAUUAUGUAAUCAUAGUGCUUUUAAAUGUGGCCUUUAUAUACAUAAUAGUAGCAAACAAGAUUUCUUGAGCCUGGAAUCUUGAGAGUUUACUCCAUGAUUUUUGUGUGUGGCAACCAAAGCCAUCUUUAUUAUUAAGAUAACUUUACCAAUCUAUUUAUCCAACUUUACAACAUCAAAAAACUGAAUCUGUGGAUUAAUAAAAUCAUUUUUAAGAGUGCUUUUGUCAGAUUUUAUAUUACCCUUUGUUCAGUUAAUUACAAAGCUUCCAUUGACUUCAAAAAGUGCACUACACAGGUAUUUGAAUAAUUUCCUUAGGUCUGAGAAGGAUUUGAAAGACUAAAGGUCCAUUUCAUAAGCUAACUCGUUUUUCCCAAGUAACUGCCUGGAGAGAUUUAGUUGGAAAUGCAAAGAAAACAUGUAAUCUUUAAGAGGGGGGGGGGGGAAGAUUGUAAAGGCUUUAAAUUUAGAUCCUUUGUAUUUUAAUAUAGAAUACAUUCCCAACUAGAAGCUAGCUUGGAAAUUCUAUAGCUGAAAAAUAGCUCUCUCUGCUUCAAAAUCUUUCUAAAUCCAAAUGUAUUUCUAUAAUCCUAAUAACCAGUGAAAGUAGACACAUGAGUGAUGGGCUAUGACAAUCUCUAUCAAUCACUACACUAUCUAGUUCACUUACUACAUGUAAUUAUGGUGGGGAAUAAAUGAAAAAAAUUUUUUUAAGAUUUUAAAAAUUAGCCCUAACUGGUUUGGCUCAGUGGAUAAAGUGCCAGCCUGCAGACUGAAGGGUCCCAGGUUCAAUUCCGGUCAAGGGCACACACUUUGGUUGCCAGUCUCCAGGGCGAGUGUGGGAGGUAACCAAUGAAUGUGUUGAAUAUGUCUCUCUCUCACCAAUGUUUCUGUCUCUCCCCCUCCCUUCCACUCUCUAACAAUCAAUGGAAAAAUAUCCUAGGGUGAGGAUUAACAACAACAAAAAAAAAUACUUUAAAAAUGUUCCUUAUUGUUAUCUCUCUGGGUAAAUUUUUUUGCCUUUUUUUGAAAUAGUGCCUAAAACAUUGUGA